CGGAGCCCUGUGUGUUCUUUUUUACUACAAUCAAAUUGAGCCCGAACCCAGAAGAUGCCAAAACCCCACCAGUUUCUGCUGUGGAUGGUGAAAACUGAGUGUAUUCAUCACCUCCAAGGCUGCUUAACACACUUCUAAGAUGGAGACCUGGACCCUUGGGACAUGCAUUUUUUAAUGAGCAGCCCAUACAUAUAUAUUGUUUAAAGACGAAUGACUGUGCUGUCAGCAAAACACAGAGAAGACAUAAUGAACCAUGAAUUGUGCUGUCUGAUCUGCUCAAGUAUUCGAGCUCUCCAGUGCUUCCAAGCAACCGAAGCCCCCAAACAAAACAAGUUUUCUCUUAUUUUUUUGUUUUUUGACUUAGCUAAGAAAAUGUGACUUCACUUCCAGUUGCACUGAACAGAUUAAUAUAAGGGACAAUGCACCUUUCUGCUUUAAAAUGUCAAAAUGUGCUUAUGAAAUAAGACUUGUUUACAGUACUAAUCUAAACACAUGAAUAUUUACAGUCUUGUUAUUCUGGAUAUAAAACUAUGUUUUCUGCAACCUUGUUUAAGCAAGAUUGUUUUAGUCCAGUUUCUUGAAAUGUAACUGACUUCUUCAUACUUGACCCUUCACAGACUAUAUUUGACUGUUUCAUAAGUCACUAUCGGUCCGUGGACCUUAGGAAGAUAAACACCAUUUGAGAUGACCCAGGAGAGUUCUGCAUAAUGCUGACUGAUAAUAAAUAGAAGCUAGAAAACGAAGUCAGAAUCUUGUUAAUAACAGCAUAUUUUAAUAUGCCUGCAUCUCCUUUUCUGUGACACCCAUAUAUAGAAAGCCUCCAGAAGUUUCAUUCAGUGGUAUUUCCUCAACGUAUUUUCCCAGUUUGUGGUUCAGAGACUUCCAAACCCAGAGAUGAUUUUUUCUGUAUCUAAUAGCCCUCAGUACAUACAUUGUCUUUUCAUUUCUUCAGUUGUCCCUUGAAUUCUGGUAAACUUUAAGCACCUACAGCAUCUUGGAAAAAGAUGCUCUAAAGCGUGACUGUACUUUGUAUGAACAACCUUUUUGCUUUUCACUAUCUUGAACCUGCCACCUCCUAAGUUCAUCUGAUGUCCCCCAGCUCUUUUACAAGAAGAGUCAGUAUGAAAUUUUUAGUCCUUUUUAAUGCAAUACCACUGUGGUAAUGCUAUUCCUUGUUCCUACUAACUUUUCCAAGAAAAUUUCCUUGUAUUUUGUAACAUUGCCACAGCUCAAUUGGUGCUCCUAAGAGCACAGAUGAUAAUGAAGACAUGCUCAUGAAUUGUAUUCUUUUUUCUCGCUCAACCUUCAUAUAAUUUAGUGCAGCUCUGAGCAAGUUAUAUGAUACAAAGAAAAGGGUUGGCUUCUAAAUGUUUUUUUUCCUGUAUUUUGAACAGUUCACUCUUUCUAUGUUGAUGUCAACCAGUAUGUUAUUGUGCAUUUAUAUAAACAUAUAUAUGCAUAUACAUACAUUCUGUUCACAAUAGGCUUAAUAUGCUGUGGCUAUACUGGCUUUUUUUGGUUUGAAGCAGCAAUAUGUUUUUGAAGCAAAUAUUGAUUGUCUCCAUUUACUGCAUGUUGGUUCAGUUUGCAGAAAGAUUUCAUUUUAUGAGUGUUUAUUUGAGAUAAUUGGUAAUUAUAUCAUUCUAAGCAAUAUCCAUUUUUUCACUGUUCAUUUGUAAUUAUAAUGUAUUCUUAUAUACUAUCUCACAUAUCUGGUGACAGUUACAGUAAGCUUGUGGUUAGAGUUUUCCAUUGUCUGUUUUGUUUUAAAUGCUAUUUUUCUCAACUGGAGAAGGUGUAAAUUCACUGUUAGGAUGAAUAAUAGCUACAUGUGUGGAAAACUAUUUUUUCAAAAAAUUGACUACAGAAAGCUAUAUUAAUGGAAUAUAGAGUUACCAGUGAAAAAAAUCCAGCCAUAUCUAAUUGGAAUACAUUAAAAUCUCAUAGGGAAAUACGAUACACCUUUUAUUGUAUUUGUUGAUUCCUUUUAUUGUAUCUUUUUUUAUUAGUUCUGGAAGUGUGAGUGUCUAUUCACACACAUCAAAAAGUGAAGUACAAGUUUGAGAUAGCUGCACUGUAAGUAAAAGACAUACAUAUGCAAAUUACUCUUUAGUCAUAAAAGCAAAUUCUCCAUCAAACUGGUCAUUUUGCCAGUCAUACUCUGUUAAAAAUUAUUUUACCAAUGGAUAGUGCCAUAGGGUCACUGAUUAAUUUCUACCAGUGAUCUUAGCCAUGAUAAUGCAUGAAUGUCUAACCUACAAAUUGCUGGAACUAUGUAUUUGAAAUGUUCCAGUAUUGUCAUUGAAAUGACUGUAAUAGGCUGGUUGUCAUUACUGACCACCUUAAAGUUACCAUCUUUAUUCCAGCUGAGCUUUAUAUAAAAGUUAGUUAGAAAGCUUUGUUUGCUAGGCAAAAGAAUUUUAUCUACCCCUUUGGAAGUUGUUUAAAUGUGUUUCCUUGUUGUGUGGAUCAUUCUCAUUUGCAAGUGUACUGAAGAUAAUACAGUGUGGAUUCAAGGAUGGCUCAUUCUCUAGCUUCUUUUUAGAGAUUUGGGGGAGCAAUUCACAUGUACUCUUCCAGAGUGAUUUCUGCUGAUGCUUUUGUGUACAAUGAUCCAGAGGCUAAAUACAGAGAAAGGAAAAUCUUUAUCUUUAUAAAACUUUAUCACAACUGUAAAAAAUAAAGAAAAGCUUUGAGGUUUUUUUUAACAGAAAUUUAAUUUCCUAUAGGUUUCCAUAGUAGGGAUACAGAAUCUUCAUAUGUUCUAUAAAUAUAUAAUACACAGUUCCCAGAAUGGGGAAGAAGUGGAAAAAUAUUGCUGCUUUGUCUUUUUAAAUCUUCCCUUUUCAGUGGCAUCCUGAAAUUUUAACACUGGUACAACAUCCUUUUUCGUCUGUGCUUUACACUUAAUCCCUUGUAAUGAGUUCAACAACAUAAAACUGUGGUAAAUCAGUCUGUUUAUAUACAGAAUAAAUAAAACUACUUUAUCCUUCAUGAAAUGCAAGAACAACACAAAGCAACAAUAGUUGAGAAUGUAUUUUUUCAGCACAUACUUUGUUGGGACUUCAUUAAAUGCCGCCAAGUAUUAAGAGGAAAAUAAGAGGAACUUUUUAUGAAGAGUUUUAACAAAAUCCUCAGAGGACAGGAAACAGCAAAUGGUAAGAUUAAAAUCCAGUAAAUGAGCAUUUGACUCAUGAAUUAACUAUUGUAAGAUGAAAGGACGAAUAUAUCAAACAAGACCUAUGUUAAGUCAGGAAUAUAAAAUACGAGGAGGUUGAGUCAUCCAACAGUUUAAAUUAUGAGCCCUGAAUCUUUAAGUCUUUAUGUCUGCAUCUCAUGAUGGACAAACCAUAGGGCAGGAGCCUGUUCCCAUUCUCUGUGUGUUCUUGCGGAACGUAGUUACUGGCAUUUUUGUUAAAAUUCUCAGCAAUUUCUGAAGUAUCUUUUUUCCCCUUGAAAUGGCCAUUCUACUUUCUGCAUACACACCCAUGCACACCACCACAGACUUUCCCAAAUCUGCCUUGCUGCUUUCAGACCAUUUGUAGAAAGGAGAGGCAGAGAGUGUCAGGGAUCCAUGGAAGUCAAAACUUUGCUUUUUGCAGUUUUAAGGGCUGUUUUUUGACUGCCACCAUCACUAAUGCUUUACUGGCACUUUUUUGUGAUAAGCUGAUAAAGGGUUAAAAAUUGAACCUUAAAUAGUUCUACAAGGUGACCCUCAUUUGCUCAAUGUGGUCAGUCAAGAACAGUGAUGUGGAAGAAGUGUGUGAGUGGAAGGAGGGUGGAAGGGGGAUA